rnacentral:rRNA from 1 species
CGGCAGCGAAGUUGGUGAUGUCAUGCUUCCAAGAAAAGCCCUAUACCCGUUAAGGCAUCAUGGCCUGUACCCGAAACCGACACAGGUGGGGUGGUAGAGAAUACCGAGGGGCGCGAGGUAACUCUCUCUAAGGAACUCGGCAAAAUGGCCCCGUAACUUCGGGAGAAGGGGUGCCACCGCAAGGUGGUCGCAGUGAAGAGGCCCAGGCGACUGUUUACCAAAAACACAGGUCUCCGCUAAGUCGCAAGACGAUGUAUGGGGGCUGACGCCUGCCCAGUGCCGGAAGGUUAAGGAAGCUGGUCAGCGCAAGCGAAGCCAGCGACUGAAGCCCCGGUGAACGGCGGCCGUAACAAUAACGGUCCUAAGGUAGCGAAAUUCCUUGUCGGGUAAGUUCCGACCCGCACGGAAGGCGUAACGAUCUGGGCGCUGUCUCGGAGAGAGGCUCGGCGAAAUAGAAUUGUCUGUGAAGAUGCGGACUACGUGCACCCGGACAGAAAGACCCUAUGAAGCUUUACUGUAGCUUGGUAUUGUGCCCGGGCUCGCAGUGCGCAGGAUAGGUGGGAGGCUUUGAUCAUCGGCUUGCGGGUCGAUGUGAGCCAACGGUGAGAUACCACUCUUUGCGAGCUAGGGUUCUAACGGCCACCCGUCAUCCGGGGGCCGGACAGUACCUGGUGGGCAGUUUGACUGGGGCGGUCGCCUCCUAAAAGGUAACGGAGGCGCGCAAAGGUUUGCUCAGGCUGGUUGGAAAUCAGCCGACGAGUGUAAAAGCAGAAGCAAGCUUGACUGUGAGACCAACAAGUCGAACAGGGAGGAAACUCGGCUUUAGUGAUCCGACGGUUCUGAGUGGAAGGGCCGUCGCUCAACGGAUAAAAGUUACUCUAGGAUAACAGGCUGAUCUCCCCCAAGAGUUCACAUCGACGGGGAGGUUUGGCACCUCGAUGUCGGCUCAUCGCAACCUGGGGCUGAAGUCGGUCCCAAGGGUUGGGCUGUUCGCCCAUUAAAGCGGUACGCGAGCUGGGUUCAGAACGUCGUGAGACAGUUCGGUCCAUAUCCGGUGCACGCGCAGGAAUAUUGAGAGGAUUUCUCCCUAGUACGAGAGGACCGGGAGGAACGCACCUCUGGUGUACCAGUUAUCGUGCCAACGGUAAACGCUGGGUAGCCAUGUGCGGAGUGGAUAACCGCUGAAAGCAUCUAAGUGGGAAGCCCACCUCAAGAUGAGUAUUCCCAUGGCGUAAGCCAGUAAGGUCACGGGAAGAACACCCGUUGAUAGGCUCUAUGUGGAAGCGCAGUAAUGCGUGAAGCAGAGGAGUACUAGUAGACCGAGGGCUUGAC